UUCCAUAAUGUGGAAUUUGAAUAGCGCCGCAACGAGGCUCGUCUAUCGCGGCCAGACUGGCAAAAUUUGAAAGAAAUCUCAAGAUGUCGCAUCCAAAUUGUGCAAAGCGUUUCGUUAAAGCGCUAAUAAAGUCUCGAUAUGUUUUACGUAACACGCACGCAUCAAAGUUUUCUGUGACGUUGAAAUACUUCCGUGAGCCACUACCGUACGUAGAAUAUCGCCACAGGUCUUCUAUUCCACGCUGGCUCUACCUCCUUUAAAGGGUGAUGUACCGCUUAAACGAGCAUCGGCGUAUUUAAAGUCGUGAUAUCGAUGCGAUGGCUGAAUAGAGGAACAAUGUCAAGACCUUCGAUUUUUACGACACACACAAGAAUUUAUAGAACGUCGAAGGAGAAACAGAUUUCGAAACAUUGAACGGAAGAAUAGUCUACGGGGUGGAAGGAGAACGAGGUGGUCUGCUUUUGUCGAAAUACGUGGUACACGGGGCAUCAGCUUUUUGCUAAUUAGAGAAUCGUAAUGGAAUUUCGAUUCGUUGGCGUAAAUAAUACCAGACGUCUAAUAAUUGAAUAUAAAGAAAAUAUAAAUUUGUAGGAACAUCGGGCAGUUAAAAUGGAAUGCC
rnacentral:misc_RNA from 1 species